rnacentral:lncRNA from 1 species
GUGAGGGAGGCGUGGUUUGUGACAAUGACACUGAGAGCUUAGACCCUACAGCCCCAGAGUCCUCUUCCGUCCUUUCCCCUUCCUGCCUGCCCCCCUCCCUCCUUCUAGCUCCUCCCCAGACCCAGGUCCAGAAGGCAACUCUCUUGGUUUCCUAGAAAGGGUGAAUAAGAAGGCUCAAUUAAAAAAAACAAAAACAAAAAGAGUCACCCAUUUAACCAUUCCAUUGCCCUGAAAACCUAAGGCACAAAUUAUCUGAUAACCCCCAUGGUCUCCUCCUUGGCUGUACUUUGAAAUCUCCAGUAAUGAUGCUUGGGUUCCAAUCUCAGAGAGUCUCAUUUAAUUGUUCAGGAGUGUGUCCUGGGCUCUGGAUUUUUUCUUGAUCAGAUCCAUCAUAUUCAAUGGGCUCCGGGUUAUUAAAAGCUCCCCAGGUGAUUCCACUGUCAGCCGGGUCUGAGAAAAUGGCUUCACCUGGUCGGCACCUGCUCAUCCUUCAGCGACGCUUGUCUCCUGAUGCUUUCCCGUCCCCCGGCUGCUCUCCACACACCUCCAUCACAGGCCUGUCACACUAGGCUGCACACACAGAGCAGCCUCCAGCUCUCACCUUUGUAUCCUUAGCACCUAGCUCAGGAUACUAAAAUACAUGUUAAAUAAGCAAAUGAAAGCCGCCCUAGCCUUCCCAUAACCUGUCUUCUAAGGGUGUCUCAUAUGAGCCUCAGCCACCUUCGGCACAUGGCAUCGAUCCUGUUCUCUUCCUCAGGCUGCCCACAGGAUUCCACUGGAAACAGACUCUCCUCUCCCCACACUGCCGACCAGCACGGAACCUUUGCCGCUUUUCUUUGCGUUAGCCCAGGCAGGUAAGACAUGUUUUCCUGGCCCUCUGCUCUCCUCACCAUUCCUAGUUAACAGCUGGGUAAAGAAGUCCUUGGACUUGCUGUGGAGCCCUCCCUGCUUUCUGGGGAGCCUGCACUGGGAGGCUGGGUGCUUGGAGAGAAUUUGUGAGGAAGGAAUAGGAUGUGGGAGAGGUUAGGGUCUCUAGGUUCGGAGAAGAAAAAAGGCAGCGAGUGAAGUGUGGGAGCCUCAGGAGGCCUGCCUGAGUCUCUUAGCUCCUCCUAGCCACGGUUCCUCAUCUGAAGACGGGGCUUGAACCAGUUAACAGGUCCAAUGGCCAUUUCGGCGACAUUCCCAUGCUCAAAUGCUGGAAUCGUAAGGCGUGAACUGCAAGGAUUUAGAGACAGGUAAAUGGUCAAGGAAAUAGACAAAAUGGGGCAAAAAAGAAGGCCCCAGCUUCCCGGUUUUUGUUUUAGGACUUGAAGAAGCUUGGGUCUUCAGCCUCCAGGGCAAGUCUAGGGUUUUGAGCCCGGAAAUCUGUGUUUGGAGGAAACCUCGAGCCAGUGACUGCCUACCUGUAGCAACGAAGGGAAAGUGUUACAGCCCGGGGGACAGCCAUGGCGAAUCUCCUCCCAGACCCUGACAACACAGAACCUGGCAGAGCCUGUCAGGAAGUGGAAGUCGGCACUGAUUUAUACAUCUCACUCGAUUCAGCUGAUUAAAUCCCCCUUGGCGUCUCCUCCAGAGCUGCCUUUUUUUACUCUCCUGGGUUGUCUCUGGCCCAAGAGCUGGAGGAGUAUUUCCUAUAAAUAAGCAGCGCCAGGAGGAGAGGAGCCAAGCACGCCCUCCUCCCACCCACCUGCCGCACGGGCCUCCUGGUGUGGCUCCUCCGGGUGGGUGGGGCGAUGGAGGCCUUGCUUCUAUUCUGAGCUCACCUCUGCUGCUGUGACCUUGGGGAACAGAGGGGGCAGCUCUUGCCUUGGCUUCCCCUUCCUGGGGCCCCGUGGGAGCCGCCUAGCCCGUGAAGCUUAUACUUUGAGCAGAGCUCUUGGCCUUUCUGUUCCUGCAGUCGCAGUCUAAAAUGGAGUCUGCCAUGCAGAAGCCUAGAAACUGGAAGAGCCCCUGGAAGCCACACAUUUCCCCUCCCUGAAGUACAAAUAAGGCACUGAGGUUUAGAGAUGCCUGGGACUUCCCAAGGCCACACAGCCCGUUAGCAGCCAGAGGACUAGAACACAGAUCUCCUUCACCCACAAAUGCCCCCUACACCGGUUCUGGGCUGCAAAUGCUCCUUGAAUCCUGCAGGUCAACCAAUCAUCAUUGCAGGCAAGGUGAACAGAUAAAAACAACUAAAACUCAGAAGUCCAGAAGCAGCGUGGGCACUGGAGGAAAGGCAAUCUCGUCACCACCCUUCUGUGGGCCUCAUCUCCUUAUGUAUACAGUGCAUGUGACACCGGGACCCUCAACGCCUGAGUUUUCAGCGAUGAGACUGCUCUGAGUUUGAGUUCUCCUUGUUCCAACAUCCCAGCCUACCAUUCUCAUGGUGUGUAAACCGUGCUGAUAUUAUAUUUGAAGCUGAAGCAAACUCGGAAGGAAGACAGCCGUGGUGUCCCCAAGCCUCUGGAAACUGCCUGAGGCCUGGGAAUCAGAUGAAAACCAACACGCCGGGCUCCAUGGGCACCCCUGGAAGCGGCCCCACUCCUGUUCCUUGUGUGCUGUUGAUUGAGACUCAGAAGCAGGAGCCUCUCAGGAGGGGCAGAGCAAGGCAGGGCUUUGGGUUUGGAAUGGCAGAGAACUGGUGCCUCCCGAGCACCAUCCUCUGGGCCAGCUGCAACACCCUGGAACUGCGACUGCCACUCAUUCUUCACAGACCUCAGUGGUCCCCAGGGGAGUUUUACUCCAAAUUGCAUUUGGAACAGCAGAAAGAUGACUUGUUCCAAAGGAAGGCCUUACUAAGAAACGAUGAGAAGCUGUGGAAUGACUUUUGGAAGUGGGGGGUGCAGGGGCCCACAUGAAUGCACAGCGGUCUCACGUCAGCCCAGGAAGAGCUGUCUGUCCCUGUGAGCCACCGUGCUUCAUUUUUAAUAGGGAAAGGGCUUGAACUGCCCUGGGAAACUCAAGGAAGACUUCAUUUCCACUCAAGGAAGGAAUUCCUGGAAGAAACCAGAAUGGGACAAAGACAUGAAGGAGUGAAGGAGAUAAAUGACAGAAAAGUUUCUGUUUAA